UAGGGAAUCUUCGGCAAUGGACGAAAGUCUGACCGAGCAACGCCGCGUGAGUGAAGAAGGUUUUCGGAUCGUAAAACUCUGUUGUUAGAGAAGAACAAGGACGUUAGUAACUGAACGUCCCCUGACGGUAUCUAACCAGAAAGCCACGGCUAACUACGUGCCAGCAGCCGCGGUAAUACGUAGGUGGCAAGCGUUGUCCGGAUUUAUUGGGCGUAAAGCGAGCGCAGGCGGUUUCUUAAGUCUGAUGUGAAAGCCCCCGGCUCAACCGGGGAGGGUCAUUGAAAACUGGGAGACUUGGGUGCAGAAGAGGAGAGUAGAAUUGCAUGUGUAGCGGUGAAAUGCGUAGAUAUAUGGAGGAACACCAGUGGCGAAGGCGGCUCUCGGGUCUGUAGCUGACGCUGAGGCUAGAAAGCGUGGGGAGCAAACAGG
rnacentral:rRNA from 1 species